rnacentral:rRNA from 1 species
AUUGAACGCUGGCGGCAGGCCUAACACAUGCAAGUCGAGCGGAUGAGGAGAGCUUGCUCUCUGAUUUAGCGGCGGACGGGUGAGUAAUGCCUAGGAAUCUGCCUGGUAGUGGGGGAUAACGUUCCGAAAGGAACGCUAAUACCGCAUACGUCCUACGGGAGAAAGCAGGGGACCUUCGGGCCUUGCGCUAUCAGAUGAGCCUGGGUCGGAUUAGCUAGUUGGUGAGGUAAUGGCUGCCCAAGGCGACGAUCCGUAACUGGUCUGAGAGGAUGAUCAGUCACACUGGAACUGAGACACGGUCCAGACUCCUACGGGAGGCAGCAGUGGGGAAUAUUGGACAAUGGGCGAAAGCCUGAUCCAGCCAUGCCGCGUGUGUGAAGAAGGUCUUCGGAUUGUAAAGCACUUUAAGUUGGGAGGAAGGGUUGUAGAUUAAUACUCUGCAAUUUUGACGUUACCAACAGAAUAAGCACCGGCUAACUUCGUGCCAGCAGCCGCCGUAAUAC